rnacentral:rRNA from 1 species
UACGUAGGGGGCAAGCGUUGUCCGGAUUUAUUGGGCGUAAAGAGCGUGUAGGCGGUUAGGUAGGUCCGUUGUGAAAACUCGAGGCUCAACCUCGAGACGCCGAUGGAAACCAUCUGACUAGAGUCCGGAAGAGGAGAGUGGAAUUCCUGGUGUAGCGGUGAAAUGCGCAGAUAUCAGGAAGAACACCCGUGGCUAAGGCGGCUCUCUAGUACGUGACUGACGCUGAGACGCGAAAGCGUGGGUAGCAAACAGG